AACGAACGCUGGCGCCAGGCUUAACACAUGCAAGUCGAACGAGGUAGCAAUACCGAGUGGCGCACGGGCGAGUAACACGUGGGAAUCUCCCUUUCAGUCCGGGAUAACGGCGGGAAACCGCCGCCAAUACCGUAUCAACCUCCGGGUUAAAGAGUUAUGGCUGAAAGAUGAGCCCGAGGCAGAGUAGCUAGUUGGUGGGGUAACGGCCUGCCAAGGCUCCGGUCGGUGGCUGGUCUUAGAGGACGAUCAGCCACACUGGAACUGAGACACGGUCCAGACUCCUACGGGAGGCAGCAGUGGGGAGUAUUGGACCAUGGGGGAAGCCCUGAUCCAGCCAUGCCGCGUGAGUGAUGAAGGCCUUCGGGUUGUAAAGCUCUUUUGUUAGGGAAGACGAUGACUGUACCUAAAGAAUAAGCCCCGGCUAACUUCGUGCCAGCCGCCGCCGUAA
rnacentral:rRNA from 1 species